rnacentral:rRNA from 1 species
ACUUUAAUUGAAGAGUUUGAUCAUGGCUCAGAUUGAACGCUGGCGGCAGGCCUAACACAUGCAAGUCGAGCGGAAACGGCAGCAUUGAAGCUUCGGUGGAUUUG